AACGAACGCUGGCGGCAGGCUUAACACAUGCAAGUCGAGCGCCCCGCAAGGGGAUCGGCAGACGGGUGAGUACCGCGUGGGAACGUACCCUUAUCUUCGGGAUAGCUCCGGGAAACUGGAAUUAAUACCGAAUGUGCCCUUUGGGGGAAAGAUUGAUCGGAUAAGGAUCGGCCCGCUUUGGAUUAGCUAGUUGGUGGGGUAAAGGCCUACCAAGGCGACGAUCCAUAGCUGGGCUGAGAUGAUGAUCAGCCACAUUGGGACUGAGACACGGCCCAAACUCCUACGGAGGGCAGCAGUGGGGAAUAUUGGACGCUGAGCGCAAGCCUGAUCCAGCCAUGCCGCGUGAGUGAUGAAGGCCUUAGGGUUGUAAAGCUCUUUCACCGGAGAAGAUAAUGACGGUAUCCGGAGAAGAAGCCCCGGCUAACUUCGUG
rnacentral:rRNA from 1 species